AAACCCUAAUCUGCAACAAGAAACAGCCGGGAGCUUGCUUAUACUAAAGCUUCUGAGCUGCCACUCCCAGAGUCCAGCUUAGAGUGCCAUAGGGCCAGGAAUGUGCAUUUGCACAGCUCUCUGGGGAUGCUGAUACAGGGGACCAAAGACUAUCUACUGAGGCCCAGUGUAACUUUACUGUGAGACAACUAAGUCACCUUCCCACCCGGAGAUGCCUCCUGAGCUGACCACAGGGCGGCCACACCUGGCUGACAACUGUCAAGAACUGUCCCCUGCCAUUUCACCUGAGCUGACCUGAUCUCCCCAGGGGAAUGAGCCUCGUCUUGCAAGUCCCCUUCUUUGGGUCCCUGGCAGCGCUGCUGCAGGAUACAAGGAACAGGAUGCUAUGACGAGAUAUGCAUUGAGAAGCUUCAGUCCUGCCUCCAUCCUUAUCUUCUUCUCCCUGGACCAAAAACAAGGGAAACCAAGAAUGAUCUGGAUAAUGGAGAAACCUGUUAAUACAACUGGAUUUGAAUCACACUACUGGCUGAAAUUCACACAACCGGAUUGGGAUCCCACUGUGUAAUUUUAGGAUGCUCAAGCAUCAUGGCAUCAUUUCCAGUGGAGUCGCUGAACUUGUAGGUUGUCUACCUGACACCUCGAGGUCCUUACACCAAGAAGUCAGCUGUGAAGCCCGCUGAGUCCUCGGGUGGAUGUCUGCCACCACAUACAUAGCCUUUGCUGGUGGCUUGGAGAGCUGGCAGGUCAGCCACAGAAAGUGGGCAAGACCUAGUCAGUAGCGACAGGAUAUGUUCCCAGGAUGGACAGCUGCCUGAUAUGCGUUCAGUUCCAGUGCCAAAGCCAAGGGCUGCCAGUGCCCUUCCUUCAUGCUAAGGACUUCUCUCUCUCCAGG
rnacentral:lncRNA from 1 species